rnacentral:rRNA from 1 species
AAUAUUGCACAAUGGAGGGAACUCUGAUGCAGCAACGCCGCGUGAGUGAAGAAGGUUUUCGGAUCGUAAAACUCUGUCAUUGGGGAAGAAUAAAUGACGGUACCCAAUGAGGAAGCCCCGGCUAACUACGUGCCAGCAGCCGCGGUAAUACGUAGGUGGCAAGCGUUGUCCGGAAUUAUUGGGCGUAGAGGGGGCGUAGGCGGCCUAAUAAGUCAGAUGUGAAAUACCGAGGCUCAACCUCGGAGGUGCAUUUGAAACUGUUGGGCUUGAGUGCAGGAGAGGAAAGUGGAAUUCCUAGUGUAGCGGUGAAAUGCGUAGAGAUUAGGAGGAACACCAGUGGCGAAGGCGACUUUCUGGACUGUAGCUGACGCUGAGGCACGAAAGCGUGGGGAGCAAACA